GAUGAACGCUGGCGGCGUGCCUAAUACAUGCAAGUCGAGCGAACGGACGAGAAGCUUGCUUCUCUGAUGUUAGCGGCGGACGGGUGAGUAACACGUGGGUAACCUACCUAUAAGACUGGGAUAACUUCGGGAAACCGUAGCUAAUACCGGAUAAUAUUUUGAACCGCAUGGUUCAAAAGUGAAAGACGGUCUUGCUGUCACUUAUAGAUGGAUCCGCGCUGCAUUAGCUAGUUGGUAAGGUAACGGCUUACCAAGGCAACGAUGCAUAGCCGACCUGAGAGGGGGAUCGGCCACACUGGAACUGAGACACGGUCCAGACUCCUACGGGAGGCAGCAGUAGGGAAUCUUCCGCAAUGGGCGAAAGCCUGACGGAGCAACUCCGCGUGAGUGAUGAAGGUCUUCGGAUCGUAAAACUCUGUUAUUAGGGAAGAACAUAUGUGUAAGUAACUGUGCACAUCUUGACGGUACCUAAUCAGAAAGCCACGGCUAACUACGU
rnacentral:rRNA from 1 species